CCGUCGAUCGUGCGUUCAGAGGAGCAGCUAGAAGUUCUUGCAUCUUGAAUCUUUUUCUACUUGCAGAUUUGCUGCUACUAAAUAGUAAGCACUACUAAAUAAACUUGUGAUUAUCACAGGCAGCAUGUACACUGCAAUGCAAACACCAGUGGAGUAGAAGAAGAGUGCUCUGCUACAGCGUACCAAUGUUGUAGGCACCAUGUCUCAAACACUAGUGGAGUAGAGGAAGAGUGCUCUGCUACAGCGUACCAAUGUUGCAGGCACCGUGUCUCAAACACCAGUGGAGUAGAGGAAGAGUGCUCUGCUACGGCGUACCAAUGUUGCAGGCACCGUGUCUCAAACACCAGUGGAGAAGAGGAAGAGUGCUCUGCUACAGCGUACCAAUGUUGCAGGCACAGUGUCUCCAUCAGGGCUCAUCCUGUGGACAGGAUGAGCCCACCAAAACAUGAGCAUUUCUCAGGACCUUAUGCAAAUAUAUAUUUACUUAUUUAUUUAUUCAUUCAUCCAUUUGUGACCUUCAUGGCCCGAGGCAUUAUGGAGAGGAGUGGCACAUAAAUAAAGACACAUGAUUACAGGCUUUCAUAAUUCUUGUUAAUACAAUAUUAGUUAAAGCAAUACAGAGACAGGACUGACUAAUAUGGAAUAACAAGUACAACAAGCUAAAUUAAGCAAGAAUACAAACUUCUCUAUUGGUUGCCUGGUAAUAAAGUACAGCUGAAUCUCGAUAUAAUGAAAUCGCACCCAACACGAGAAUGCAUUCAUUAUAUUCUAUAUUAUUAUAUCACUGAUAAUUGAAAAAAAGAUCGCCAUCAUGUCUGUGCAACAUAAAUGCAAGUGGGAAGCCUCUGACAGGCCAGCAAAGAGUUUUCCCUGGAUUUUGAUGGCCCAAUGCCGGCAUGAUACCCUGGCAUGGGAACAACAUAAAUUACAUACACAUAUUUCGCAUCGUUGCUCAUAACCAAACACACAAUUGGUACAUUAGCUUGCGCACAGUGGUCCAACCAAGCCAGGCUGUUGGCCAAAAUGCACGCACCAGUCCCAAUAGUGCCCUUUGCAGUUGCUCUUGCUGAGUACUGUCUCCGUACAAUUUUUCGCAUGCAGAUUUAAACUUUACUGCUACAGCCACUGCAGUUCUACUGCAGCAGCUGCUGUGUAUGGCACGACCGCACUGCCCCUAUCUUAAGUGCGAUCUGCGAUGUAGACAAUCUAUGCAUCUAGCGCACCUCGCUAUGUUCUGGUCACUUAGUUCGCGUUGAAGCAAGAGGCCACACAGAGUUCAAUUCACUCGCUCCUGCUACGGCACUUCCUCACUCCAGUGUUUUGAUAAAGAGUUUCCGUGGUCAUUGAGUGAGAUGUGUUCAUGUUUGCUUGUGCAUGCAUGACACCAUGCUUGUUAGUUUAGUUAGUGAGCGAAUGUUUACAAGUUUAUACGACUGAUAAAACUAAUAUCCUUACUUUUCGUAUAGCUGCCGACUAAUUUGAUAUCGCAAUCGAUGCUUCGACUUUCGGGCGAAACUGCGACUGUUUUAUUUAUCGCAAAUUUAGUGCAUUGGGAGUAAAUCUUUGUUUUUUCCAAAUGAGAAAGUUGUAUUUCUGUAUGAAAGAAUGAGGUACACGGUACUCUAAAAGACUUCUCUUUUUUUAGGUCAUGGCAAACGGGUGUGCGUUACAAUCAAGAGUGUCUUUUUUUUCUUUAUGGUCAUAGAAGACAGGUGCGCAUUACAACUGAGGGCGCCUUGGAAUCGAGUAAAUAUGGUACAUUUUAGAGUGCAGUUCUUAGGUGCCUGUUCAUGCACUGAGCGGCGGCGGCGUAACCGAGUGAACAAGCACGCCGCAAGAUGAAAGAGCAAACGUGAUGCAGGAUAUGAAAGGUGCGAGGCUCGAAACACGGAGACCAAUGAGAGCGGCCCCUUCAGUAGUUGUGUGCGCAUGGGAAACUGGUGUUGAGAGAUCAACCCAACUGCUUGAUGCGUACUCCUAACUGGUCUCAGCCGGACUGCUCGCUUCCUAUUAUCAUCUACUCGCGCCAGCUCUCGCUCGUGCUAGUUAGUUUGCUUGGUUUGGUCUCGUUAACACUUGUUUUGAUUGUCAUGGUUUGUGAAGGCUUUGUAAUCUGACUCUAUGCACAACGCAAAUUGUGUAGUACUUUGUGGAAGCCAUGCAGCACCAGCAAUUACACGGGAACCUUUGACAAGUCAUGUAUAAAAGCAGACGUGCUUGACCCGCAGAUCGGAUUUUUGAUGAUCGCCAACUCUGCUACGUGUCUCACUCAAAUUCUUUGCCUCAAUAUAUCCCGAAAUGAAAACAUGCAUAGAGCUGCGCUAAAACUUCGCAUUAGAGAGUACCAUAAUCGUGAGUGAAUUUUGUUAAGCACGAAAAAUCAUAUUUGCAACAACAGGCAAGGGAAGUAAAGUAAGCUUUUAAGAAACUUUCAUAAUUAUUAUACUGGUAGUUUGAUUGCAGUUCCAGAAAAUAAAGCAAACAGAUAUUUUAGACUAGUAGCUCUGCUUUCUGCAUUGUAUAUUUGCUUGCAGAGACUGGCCAUGGCAUAGCGGACGCAAUGCUUAGAUUGAAAAUGUGCUUUUAAUGGUUUGGCCCUAAGCAUAUCUGCUUAAUUGUUUUUAUAGUGACGCAAUUUGCUCUGUACAACCCCAAAUAUAUUGAAAUCUCGCAUCUUGGUUCAGGAUCAGAGAAUUUACAAGCUCAUAACUAGGAUUUAGUGUUAUUGACUUAAACUGGAAAAAAAAAAAAAUAAAGGACUGCCGAAGUCAUUUUGCUGAAUUCAAUUUGAAUUGAAAAAGAUCAGUUCCUUCAACUGCUGAGUGUAUAAAUAACUGGGUUUCUCAAAUGUUACUCGAUCUAUGAGAGAAUCUUCAAACUUGCUGUUAGUGGCACUGACGCGAUUCAAGCCUUUCAGCAAGAGCUGUGUGAAUAUUUGCAGUACGCUGUCCUCGAAAGUGUGGUACUGACUGUCUUUUUAUGAUCAUAUUUAACUGAUUGGCCAACAUUAAGUACCGCAGCACUUCGCCUCCUUAGCUCGCCUGUUUCAAGUGUAAACAUCGAGAGGGCAUUCUCUAAACUCAGAUUGAUAAACAGAACAGAUGUGUAUUAACAACAACCACAAUAAAGAAGGCUGGGAGAAUACAUGCAUCUGUAUUAUAACCAGAUUAAUUAAGUAAUUGUGACUUGAUGGGACGUGAAAUUUAUGGUUACAGUGUAGACUCAAUAUCUCCCUCGCUUGUACUUAUGUGUACAUGCUUCUUCAUUCCUGUUCCAGUUUGAUGAAUAAAUGUGCCAUUUUUA